rnacentral:rRNA from 1 species
AGCGAACGCUGGCGGCAGGCUUAACACAUGCAAGUCGAGCGGGCACUUUCGGGUGUCAGCGGCGGACGGGUGAGUAACGCGUGGGAACGUGCCCUCUGGUUCGGAAUAACUCAGGGAAACUUGAGCUAAUACCGGAUACGCCCUUUUGGGGAAAGGCUUGCUGCCGGAGGAUCGGCCCGCGUCUGAUUAGCUAGUUGGUGAGGUAACGGCUCACCAAGGCGACGAUCAGUAGCUGGUCUGAGAGGAUGAUCAGCCACACUGGGACUGAGACACGGCCCAGACUCCUACGGGAGGCAGCAGUGGGGAAUAUUGGACAAUGGGCGAAAGCCUGAUCCAGCCAUGCCGCGUGAGUGAUGAAGGCCUUAGGGUUGUAAAGCUCUUUUAUCCGGGACGAUAAUGACGGUACCGGAGGAAUAAGCCCCGGCUAACUUCGU